GGGUGGAUUGCGGGAGGACUGCGUCUUUCUCAGCGCCGCCUCUCCACAUAUACCCUCCACCUGCCGCCACACCCAGCGGCGGCGAGGAACCACUUGGUAUGCACUCGGGCACCCGCAGGAAAGAGAAUAGGGAGAGACAUAAGCUGAUGAAGUGAAGCCAAGCAGACUGACAGGAACAGAAAAUUAGUACUCCUCCCCUCCUCUGUUCCCCUACAGAAAGAGCUCAGACCUCAUAGUGACUGAUCUUUGGGUAGGACUGAGACCACUCACACACCACACACCAGGACAGCGAGGCCACAGCUCCUUGGCUUACAUCCCAUACCUAUUUGCUGCUGGGGAAACAGGGGCUACACAUUAAGUGGCUCACCCAUUUGCCUCACCAUCCCUGAGACUUGAAUCUGAGCCCUCUCAGUUGAGCCAAGUGUGCUGACCACCAUACUGCAUGUGAAUAAAACUCAGCAACUCAGGGAAAGCUUUACCUGCUGCCUGGGCUUUUUGGAGGUAAAACCCCUGCCUCCUCAUGACUCGAGAUAGCCGAGCCGCUGCGAGAGGCACGAGAGGAGGAUCUGAGGGGAUCCAGGAACACAUGCUCAAGUUUUAGAAAUGAGUGGAGGAGCUGGGCCUUUGCUGGCCUGGUUGAGAGGAUCAAAGGCACUUCCUUGGGAGGUGUAGCCAGUGCCUCGCAUGCUAGUCAUGGGUCUUCGUAACCCAUCACUGGAACCACCCGUCUGCCCCACAAAUUAUAAAUAAGAUCAGAUGAGUGGAUCUACAAAUGAACACCAGCAGACGAAAUUACAGUUCCACACAGAAAGUCAUUAAGACAAAAAGAUGAACAUGGGGAAAAUAAAUCUGAUGUUUGAGACCUGCUUAUAAGGUAGGCCUAUUCAUAGAGAGAGAGGGAAGUACAGGGAGAGGGGAGAGCUCCAACAACUCUACCAUAUUCCUUUUCCAUUGAGAUCGGGGCUGUCCCAGCAAUGCAAAAUGCAGGUCACUAAAGACUCUGGAGAUUUUGUGUAUUGCUGCAAUGUAGGUUGGGAGGGGGCUCGUGGUGACAGUCAUAUUACUGUAGGUUUGUGAGGAUGCCAUAAGGCUGAUGAAUGGUGAAUGGUUUUUGUUGCCGUUUCCAGUGUAGAGCACAGAGAUUGAGGUAGUGAACUUGUGAGGAUGAGAAGUGAGUCGUGAGGGUGGAGAUGAUAAUGUUUACACUAAAAGAUGCUGACCUAUAGGAUAAGGCCAUAAUGAAAACCUUAUGGUGGUUGGGCACUGAGGGGGCUCACAACACUCCCAACAGUAAAGUCUACGUUUUAUAGGGAGAUCGUCGCCACCACACACAGACCUGCGUUCUGCACUUCCGUUACCCACGCUCAUUCAAAGAUCCCAAUAAGUAAGUGUGCAGUAGAUACAGCGUAAUAGCACAUACAAUAAGUAAUACUAGGAAGCUGGAAACUAGUAAUAAAAAUGUGACAGGAAGACAAAUCAAUAUGCUUAUAGAGUUAAGUGUUCAAUUUGUAUGAUUGCAGGCUUGACCAGACUCAGAAUAAACUCUACUGUGUGCAGUGUUGGGGCUUAUUACACCUGUUACACCGAGCAGUGCCAUCAGGCUGCAACAGUUUUCAAUCACAUUAUUUUUUAUUUCUUCAUUGAAGGCAGGGCAGCUGAGAGAAUUGAAAUGUGCUGGUGCAGGAAUAGUUUAGGGCCCCCACCCCUGCAGCCAGUAGGUAAAGAGAUGCAACCCCUCCCAAGAUCUAAUGGGUCCUCCAUAGACCCCAUGGGCCCCGGGGCAAUGCACUGGCUGACACCCCCCACCCUCACCCCGUGUGCCUGAUUGAAAGCAUCACAAAGCUGAUCACAAGAUGGGAAGAAAGGAUGUCACUGAAUGAGGAACCCUGCUCAUAUUCUGAUUGCCAUAAAAUAAAUACUAAAUAAAUAAAUGAAUAAAUAAAUAAAGAGAUCAAUUAGUCAGACAACAACAACAACAACAACAACAACAACAACAAUAGUAAUAAUAAUAAUAAUAAUAAUAAUAAUA